rnacentral:rRNA from 1 species
CAAUAGCGUUUAUUAAAGUUGUUGCGGUUAAAAAGCUCGUAGUUGGAUUUCUGUUGAGAGCAGCGCGUCUACCUUUUGGGUAAGUAUGUUGCUUGGUCUCGGCAUCUUCGUGGAAAACGUUUCUGCGCUUGAUUGCGUGGGGCGGGGUUCACGACUUUUACUUUGAGGAAAUUAGAGUGUUCACGGCAGGCAUACGCCUUGAAUAUAUUAGCAUGGAAUAAUAACAUAGGGCUUACGGCCUAUUUUGUUGGUUUCUAGGCUGCAGGCAAUGAUUAAUAGGGACAAUUGGGGGCAUUCGUAUUAACGCGUCAGAGGUGAAAUUCUUGGAUUGCGUUACGACGAACUACUGCGAAAGCAUUUGCCAAGGAUGUUUUCAUUGA